UACGUAGGGGGCAAGCGUUGUCCGGAAUCAUUGGGCGUAAAGAGCGCGUAGGCGGCCCAGUAAGUCCGCUCUGAAAGUCAGGGGCUCAACCCCUGAAUGCGGGUGGAUACUGCUGGGCUAGAGUCCGGAAGAGGCGAGUGGAAUUCCUGGUGUAGCGGUGAAAUGCGCAGAUAUCGGGAGGAACACCUGUGGCGAAAGCGGCUCACUGGACCACAACUGACGCUGAGGCGCGAAAGCUAGGGGAGCAAACAGG
rnacentral:rRNA from 1 species